UACAGAGGUGGCAAGCGUUGUUCGGAAUUACUGGGCGUAAAGGGCGCGUAGGCGGCCUUCUAAGUCAGACGUGAAAUCCCCCGGCUUAACCUGGGAACUGCGUCUGAUACUGGGGGGCUAGAGUAUGGGAGAGGGAUGUAGAAUUCCAGGUGUAGCGGUGAAAUGCGUAGAUAUCUGGAGGAAUACCGGUGGCGAAGGCGGAUCUCUGGGCCUUACCUGACGCUGAGGCGCGAAAAGCUAGGGGAGCAAACAGGG
rnacentral:rRNA from 1 species